rnacentral:rRNA from 1 species
CCUACGGGUGGCAGCAGUGAGGAAUAUUGGUCAAUGGGCGCGAGCCUGAACCAGCCAAGUCGCGUGAGGGAAUAAGGCCCUACGGAUCGUAAACCUCUUUUGCCGGGGAGCAAAAGCCGCGACGCGUGGCGUUCCGAGAGUACCCGAAGAAAAAGCAUCGGCUAACCCCGUGCCCGCAGCCGCGGUAAUAAGGAGGGUGCGAGGGUUAUCCGGAUUUAUUGGGGUUUAAGGGUGGGUAGGCGGGAGUUCAAGUCAGCGGUAAAAAUGUGGGGCUCAACCCCGUCGGGCCGUUGAAACUGGUGUCCUUGAGUGAGUGAGAAGAAGGCGGAAUGCGUGGUGUAGCGGUGAAAUGCAUAGAUAUCACGCAGAACCCCGAUUGCGAAGGCAGCAUACCGGCGCUCUACUGACGCUCAUGCACGAAAGUGUGGGUAUCGAACAGGAUUAGAUACCCGUGUAGUC